ACACAGGAAAAGUGGCGGAGUAUUUUUUCCAGAGUUAAUAUUUUUUUCCUCCAAAAGAGUUGUUUUUGCUCCGUUUUGAGUAAACAAAGUAAAAUGUGUUAGUAGAGUGGGAGCAAAAUUACAGAGUAACUGUAACAGAGUUAAAUGUUUCCCUCCUAAUUUCCGUUUAUCUGCCAUUGCUGUAUAUAAUGUUAAAAGACUAACAAUAAAGAUUAAUGACACGCCUGCAUAUAUUUCUAUUGUGAAAAUAAAUAAACAACAUCUCAAAAAAUAUCAUUUAGUAACUAAUUUGAAUCAAACUAAUUAGAAAAACGAACACCUAAAAGUACAUAAACAUAAUAAAAAACUAAAGUAACUGAAACCAUCUUUGGGGGAAAUAUCUGCAAUUAGAUUUUUAAGUUUGGUUCACGUAGCAUUUGCUUACAUAGAGUUUGCGGGCUUUAUGACCUACACGGCACCCAGCCACCAGAGGGCGAUAGAAAUAUUUUCUUCACUCACCGUGGCUCCCUUUGGUAACGGCCAUAUCGAUCACUGCUGGUUAAGAAGACAAGCUGCUUUUCUGCUGGAUGGUGAAGAUUCAAACCAACAACGUUGUCAGAGUAAAGUUCAAAGACAGCAAGAAAUAUAUUUUCUCUUCACAACCAUUUACAUUUCACACAUUUUUGGAAUGUGUUGCCAAGAAGUUUAAUCUUCCUACAAUGAAUGUCUUUGAUGACUCAGACAGAGGUUGAUGAGGAAUAAUAUCUGCUGACAUGACCAGACUUUGGUGUCCUAGAAAUCUUCAUCCCAGAAAGCACAACAAGCCUUGAUGGGCACGUCAGACUCUGAUGGGACCGCAGUGUUGAUUAGAAAUCCUCCUGAAAAAAAUCUAGCCAAGAAACGUCAUCUAGUCCAGAUCGAAAAUAUCCUAAACAGCAUCCCUGGAGGCGAAUAAGGUCAUAAAGGAAUACGCUCGCACAAAGUCUUUCAGAUGGCAAAAGACGUGACAUGGUGAAAAUCUUGGUAGCACAUUUAACAAAGGAACAUGGAUCUUCCCCUUACCGAAGUUUGAAGGAAGAAUAUGCAAAGGGUAUUAUCUCCAUAUUCCCAUGCUUUGCUGAACCCAGGAGCAAGCUUGGUUAUGAGCAUUAUUACAAUGCAGAAGAUGGAAGUGGAUAUUUGGCGUGGAGAAUUAAAACUCAAGCAUCAGAGGGACGGAUAAAAUGCCCACGGCAACCACAAACAGGUGCAUGACUUGCAGAUUGAUUUGCAGAUUUUGGACUUCUAUUUGGUGAGGCGACCACUGCAAAGUUGUUGGACAAGUGGUUUACCAACAUAAAACCAAAGGUUAUUGCACAGACCCGUGGCCUUAAACAGACUUGUAAGGUCCAAGACCUCAUCCAAAAUGCUGAAGUUGAAGAUGGUAACUAUUGUGCUAUACAUACAUGUGCUAUACAAGUUAUGAAUUCAUGAAGAAUGGCUUUAGAACCAUAGUUUCAAUUGUAUUAUUUAUUGUAUUAUAUUUACAACAUAUAAUCCAUGCUUUUGUUAUUUAGAGUCCCAAAUGAAAACUAUUUUAAACUGUAAAUCUACAACUCGCAUACUAGUCCCUUGUGAAAACCCAUCUGAAAGCGCUCUAUUUUUACACACUAAUUUUGUACUUUAUAUACAAAAAAUUCUUCUUUUGUACUUCUUGAGAUAAUCUUAAGAACAUCUAAGUAUACUUGUCUGUACUAUUUUGAGACACCAUGAAUAUGAACUGAAAUAUGCUUAAAAUAUAUAUAUAAAAAAAUGUAUUUAGGUACCGCUUGUAGUAAACUUAAACCCAUCUUUCAUACAAACAAGUGGUAAAUAAAUAAAUUUUUUAAAUAUAUUUUAAGCACAUUUUAGUUUAUAUUCAUGGCGUCUCAAUAUAGCACAAUCAUUUUUAAGUUUAUUAAGUACAAAAUUAAUGUGCGAAAAGAGAGCAGUACAUUAUUGAAGUGUACUUCUUUUUCAGCUGGGUUUUCACAAGGGCCUAGUACGUGAGUUGCAGAUUUACACUUUUAAAUUGUUUUAAUUUGGGACUCUAAUAACAAACGCAUGGUUUACAUAUUGUAAAUAACGUUUAAAGGGGACAUAUUAUGAAAAUCUGACUUUCCUUGUUUAAGUGCUAUAAUUGGGUCCCCAGUGCUUCUAUCAACAGAGAAAAUGUGAAAAAGAUUAACCCAGUAACUUAGUUUUGAUAAACCAGUCUCUGCAAGUAUGUGGAAAAAAUAGCUCAUUGAAAUGUGGCUCCCCUUGUGAUGUAAGAAGGGGAUCUUACUAUAAUUAUACUACCUCUUAAUCUGCACUAUUCAACCACUGCCAUUUAGUGCAGCUCAUUUGCAUUUAAAAGGAUACACCCAAAAUCAACACAUAUUUGCUCACACCUACAAGUGUCAAUUUUAACAUGUUAUAAUAAAUUGUCUAUAUGGUAUUUUGAGCUAAAACUUCACAUACAUACUCUGGGACAGCAAAUAUUUAUUUCACAUCUUAAAGUCUUGUGAAAUGUCUCCUUUAACUGUAUUUCAUCAUUUCAGUAUUUGUAGUAGUUUGUUUCUGCUUUGUUUAUUGUACCAUAUUAUUUCAUGUAAUUCUUUAUCUCCUCUGUUGUAUUAUCACUAUUUAUAUUAUUUUAGUGUUGUUGUCAUGAAUUGUAAAAAUGCUGUUUAAAAGAUUAGCUUGACAAAUAAAAUGUAUAAUAGAUGCUGUUAUAGCAAGAGAAUAAAAUUUUACUGAAAUUACAGUUUUGUUUCAGACUGAUGUUUUUCAUUUUCGAGCUGUUUGAUGGUGAAACGUGAAUUUUGUAAUUCAGAAG